rnacentral:rRNA from 1 species
CUUAACACAUGCAAGUCGAGGGGCAGCACAGGUAGCAAUACCGGGUGGCGACCGGCGCACGGGUGAGUAACGCGUAUGCAACUUGCCUAUCAGAGGGGGAUAACCCGGCGAAAGUCGGACUAAUACCGCAUGAAGCAGGGGCCCCGCAUGGGGAUAUUUGCUAAAGAUUCAUCGCUGAUAGAUAGGCAUGCGUUCCAUUAGGCAGUUGGCGGGGUAACGGCCACCAAACCGACGAUGGAUAGGGGUUCUGAGAGGAAGGUCCCCCACAUUGGUACUGAGACACGGACCAAACUCCUACGGGAGGCAGCAGUGAGGAAUAUUGGUCAAUGGCCGAGAGGCUGAACCAGCCAAGUCGCGUGAGGGAUGAAGGUUCUAUGGAUCGUAAACCUCUUUUAUAAGGGAAUAAAGUGCGGGACGUGUCCCGUUUUGUAUGUACCUUAUGAAUAAGGAUCGGCUAACUCCGUGCCAGCAGCCGCGGUAAUACGGAGGAUCCGAGCGUUAUCCGGAUUUAUUGGGUUUAAAGGGUGCGUAGGCGGCCUUUUAAGUCAGCGGUGAAAGUCUGUGGCUCAACCAUAGAAUUGCCGUUGAAACUGGGGGGCUUGAGUAUGUUUGAGGCAGGCGGAAUGCGUGGUGUAGCGGUGAAAUGCAUAGAUAUCACGCAGAACCCCGAUUGCGAAGGCAGCCUGCCAAGCCAUUACUGACGCUGAUGCACGAAAGCGUGGGGAUCAAACAGGAUUAGAUACCCUGGUAGUCCACGCAGUAAACGAUGAUCACUAGCUGUUUGCGAUACACUGUAAGCGGCACAGCGAAAGCGUUAAGUGAUCCACCUGGGGAGUACGCCGGCAACGGUGAAACUCAAAGGAAUUGACGGGGGCCCGCACAAGCGGAGGAACAUGUGGUUUAAUUCGAUGAUACGCGAGGAACCUUACCCGGGUUUGAACGCAUUCGGACCGAGGUGGAAACACCUUUUCUAGCAAUAGCCGUUUGCGAGGUGCUGCAUGGUUGUCGUCAGCUCGUGCCGUGAGGUGUCGGCUUAAGUGCCAUAACGAGCGCAACCCUUGCCACUAGUUACUAACAGGUAAAGCUGAGGACUCUGGUGGGACUGCCAGCGUAAGCUGCGAGGAAGGCGGGGAUGACGUCAAAUCAGCACGGCCCUUACAUCCGGGGCGACACACGUGUUACAAUGGCGUGGACAAAGGGAAGCCACCUGGCGACAGGGAGCGAAUCCCCAAACCACGUCUCAGUUCGGAUCGGAGUCUGCAACCCGACUCCGUGAAGCUGGAUUCGCUAGUAAUCGCGCAUCAGCCAUGGCGCGGUGAAUACGUUCCCGGGCCUUGUACACACCGCCCGUCAAGCCAUGGGAGCCGGGGGUACCUGAAGUCCGUAACCGCGAGGAUCGGCCUAGGGUAAAACUGGUGACUGGGGCUAAGUCA